rnacentral:rRNA from 1 species
UACGGAGGGUGCGAGCGUUGGCCGGAAUCACUGGGCGUAAAGGGCGCGUAGGCGGCCUGGUAAGUAGGGGGUGAAAUCCUGCGGCUUAACCGCAGGGCUGCCUUCUAAACUGUCAGGCUGGAGCACAGUAGAGGCAGGUGGAAUUCCCGGUGUAGCGGUGGAAUGCGUAGAGAUCGGGAAGAACAUCAGUGGCGAAGGCGGCCUGCUGGGCUGUUGCUGACGCUGAGGCGCGAAAGCUAGGGUAGCAAACGGG